CUACGGGCCGCACCAGUGAGGAAUAUUGCACAAUGGGGGGAACCCUGAUGCAGCAACGCCGCGUGGAGGAUGACGCAUUUCGGUGUGUAAACUCCUUUUAUAUGUCAAGAAAAUGACGGUAGCAUAUGAAUAAGCACCGGCUAACUCCGUGCCAGCAGCCGCGGUAAUACGGAGGGUGCAAGCGUUACUCGGAAUCACUGGGCGUAAAGGACGCGUAGGCGGGUUGGAAAGUCAGGUGUGAAAUCCUACAGCUUAACUGUAGAACUGCACUUGAAACUUCUAAUCUAGAGUAUGGGAGGGGGAGAUGGAAUUAGUGGUGUAGGGGUAAAAUCCGUAGAUAUCACUAGGAAUAUCUAAAGCGAAGGCGAUCUCCUGGAACAUUACUGACGCUAAGGCGUGAAAGCGUGGGGAGCAAACAGGAUUAGAUACCCCUGUAGUC
rnacentral:rRNA from 1 species